GUGGCUUUGAACUGGUUUGAAAGUAUUUUGGUUAUGAUUUUGUAGAAAACAUAUGUGAGACUAAUUGGCCGGUAUUGGGUUGGAGAGUUUGGGCUAUGGAUUUUUGGUAUGAAGGAAAUGUUGGUGUGGUUCAAUUGUUUCAACAACUUGCCACUCCUGAAGAAAAUUCUACACCGCUUCAAUCACUUCAUUUUUUAUUAUGCUCCAAUAGUGUUUAUAGAAAAGAGUUGUCAUUCCAUCUAGGCCUGGAGCCUUAUGGUUUGGAAUUUGCUUUACUGCUCCAAGUAUUUCUACAUCACUUGGAAUCACUAGAAGUCUCUCAUUUUCUUAAUUUGGAAUUUGCUUCACAAAGAGGUUGUCCAGUUGGUAUGGGAUGUGCGGAUUAGUUGAAGUGUAUAUUGCUUUGAAAUGAUCUAUGAAAAUAUUUUCAAUAGCAAAGGGGUCCAUAGACCAAAUACCUUGGCCCAAUUUAAUGGAUUCGAUGGCGUUUCUCCGACGUCUUAUAUUUGUUGAGAGAUGGGAGAAUUUGAUGUUCAGAUCUGUUGAGGUGAGCCACAAUAUUCUUGAUUUUUGUUGCCAUAGUAUCUCUUCAUACUCCCUUUGCUUGUUGAGCUUGGAUUGUAAUUCCUUUUCUCUGUCUUGAUCAAAAGUGUCGGUGGAAUUGUUUGUGUUAGCAAUAAAUCUUGCUCCAGCUGUUGAAUAUUUUCUUGGAUUCGGCCAUAGUGCUUUUUGUUCCAAAGCUUUAGUGAGUCUUUUGUUGAUUUGAUUUUCGUACAAAGGAUAUAUGCUAGGUUGCCUUGGAAAGUUUUACUCCAAGCUUCACUUAUGAUCUUGUGGCUUAGUGGCUCGUGAAUCCAAAAUUUUUCGAAUUUGAAGGAUGUUGGUUUGCGUUGGGAUCCCUUAGUUUGCAGUAGAAGAGAAUGAUGAUCUGAAGCAAAUGAGGCAAGAUGACUUAAAGAAGCAUCUGGGAAAAGUAGUCUCUAUUGUUGAUUGGCUAUUGCUCGAUCUAUUCUGUCUCUGAUUAGUGCCCUUCCAUGUCUGUUGUUUGUCCAGGUGAAUUUUGGACUAGAGAAGCCUAUGUCAAUUUGCAAGAUGACUUAAAGAAGCAUCUGGGAAAAGUAGUCUCUAUUGUUGAUUGGCUAUUGCUCGAUCUAUUCUGUCUCUGAUUAGUGCCCUUCCAUGUCUGUUGUUUGUCCAGGUGAAUUUUGGACUAGAGAAGCCUAUGUCAAUAAGGCCAUUGCUGUUUAAAAAUGAUCUCAAUCCUUGGUUAUGAUUAUUUAAAACUGGUCGGCCACCAUAUUUUUCCGAUUGGUCGAGUAGGUCAUUGAAGUCACCUAUACAUAACCAUGGCCUUGGGUAAGUGCUUUGAAUUGAAUCCAAAUGAGUCCAAAAAAUUUCUUUGUUGCUCCUUUGGGCCGAAGCAUACACAUGAGUGUUUAACCAUGGACGGUGUGUAGGAUCAGAGUAAACUAAAAUAGAGAUAGCAUUCAUAUAUAUAUGAAUCAGUUCCAUUCCUACACACGGUCACCACAUUAAAAAUAGACCCCCUUUUUUACAAUCAGCUAGGGAGCUUACAAAAUUCUGGAAACCUAGACUAUGUACAAUAGAAGUGGUUCGAUUUUUCGAGAUCAAGGUUUCUGACAAAAAGAUUACAUCCAGAUUAUAUUUUCUAAUAUAGGCCCUUAUAUUUCUGAUUGCGUUGGGUUGAGCGAGGCACCUGCAAUUCCACACUAAGGACCUCAUUUCUCAGGGUGAGGCUUUUCAAAGCUAGCCUCUUUUGCUUCUUUGGAUUGACUCGGGGGUGGGGAUGGCCUGCCGUAUGGAAUGUCUCUGAUUUUCCCUUUUAGCUUCCUUAGUUUUCUUACUCAUCCAGAUUGCAUUUCCACUAGAGUUUUGGCCAAGAUUGACACAUCUGAUUGAAUGACCAUUUCUUCCUUGAUAUUUCCAGAUUGCACCAUUUUUGUUGUUACUGCUUUGCAAAUUUUUUUCUUUGGCGACUUUGCCUUGUCAUGCACUUGUGGUUCGGUUGGCCUCUUUGUUGGAAGGGAAACGAUCUCCUCCAUUGGACCGGAGGACUGUGGGUUCUUCAUGGGACAAUUUUUCGAAAUAAUGGGAGGUUCAUUUGGGGCUGGUUGGGUUGGUUCUAUCUCAGAGUAUGGUGGGGAUUUUUCCUGGAGGGAUUAUUGCAGAUGACUGACUAUGGGCAUUAGGUAAGAUGUGGUAAAAGGUGGGGGAGAGGCACAUAUAUCCAUUAUAGUCGGAUUAUAUGCUAAUGAAGAGGAUGAAGGGGUUGCAUAGGUGUGUAUGGUCGAGUUGUUUGCAGGUGAUGAGGAUGAAGGGGCUAUGACAUGCUUGGCCCGAUUGAUUUGUCAUGUGGGGUGUUGGGCUGGCUUAUUUAGGCUAAGGCAAGAUGGGCUGGGUUGUGUGGUUAGUAGAUGUUUUUCUGGGCCCAUGAGAUUUCGGUUAGAGGGAGGGGGAUUUUGGAUUUGUGUAACCUGACUAAAUAAACUAGAGUUAUGAGAACUCUGACCUUGAAGUGCCGAAUGGGUUAGAAGCUUUGACCUGGUUGGGUUGGCUCUGAAGUCUCGCAUUGCAUUAUAAACUUGUCUCCACUGUGAUUUCCAUGGGGAGUUCCUUCGGGAUGAAAGGAUGUUUGUAGAUGGGAUUGUUCGAGCAUCUAGUUCCAUUGGGGUCAUUUCCAUGCUGAAUCUUUCUGAAUUUGAUGAUGAGUUGAAAUUAAAGCCUUCUGUUAUGUUCGGUGGGUUGAAGCUGGUUCUGCUGUCCAUAGUGAAGAAAUUUAUUGUGGUUGGUACUUGAGUUAAUGCCCUAGUUUCACUAUAGCUGGCCCAAUCGGUGACCCAUUCUGAAUGAGUCUGUUGGAUGACUCACCGAUCUUUAAGUGAUUCUCCAUUGAUGGGAAGAGUUGCUGUAGCGCUGGAGGGGAGUCUUGCACAAGUAUGGUGUUUCCAGUUUCAUCAAGUGUAUAAGCAUUCCUUGUGAUGAUUUGGAAAUCCAAACUUUGUGGUUUUUGCCUUGGCAAGGUGACAGCUUUAAUUCUUGCCAUGAGAGAGCUUCAGUUUGAGAGAUCAAUUUUUCCAUUUCCAUUUUGGGAGUUGCUUGAAGUUUGGCGCAGCACUUGAUGCAGUAGAGGUGGUGAAUUGUUCUGGAUAGAAGGUGGCGAGAGAACUCGGUUUAUCAACAAGGAGUUGAACUUCAGCUACACAAGCAAGGAAAUGCUACAGAGACCUGGAGAGAACACUAUAGAGGAUGUGGAAAUUUUAAAAUUGGGUAUAGAGAAUAGAACUUACCGUAAUGAUCUUCUCUUCAAUCCCCUUGAGAUAGGCUAGAAAGAGAAUGGGCUUCCAAGUACAUCACCACCUUGAACCAUCCUAUGAGAGAAGAGGAUCAUCUAACCAAACUGUUAAUGCAUUUUCCAUGUUGCCAAGACCAAAGAGCUUCAGAGAAUGUGAAGACCAGAGAGAAUCCCAUUGGAGCAAUUGUAGAGAACUAAGUGAGGAUGGGAUGGAGAGGUUGUAACAAACUUGAUUUCCAGUAGACUUGCACCCAGGCCUCAUGGACAUAGGUCUUAGUGCCGAACCAUAUAAACUAGUAUCUCCUUUAUUUUUAGAGGAGGUUUGGAUAGUGAGUUGAGAUAAGAUGAAAUGAAAAUUGAAUGUUAGAUAAAAUAUUGUUAGAAUAUUAUUUUUUAAUAUUAUUAUUUUUUUGAGA